GCUGCUAUCGCUCAGGUGGUAGACCGCACCCUUGGUAACGCUGAGGUCCCCAGUUCGACUCUGGGUAUCAGCACCA
rnacentral:tRNA from 1 species